rnacentral:rRNA from 1 species
AACGAACGCUGGCGGCAGGCUUAACACAUGCAAGUCGAGCGCCCCGCAAGGGGAGCGGCAGACGGGUGAGUAACGCGUGGGAAUCUACCCAUCUCUACGGAAUAACGCAUGGAAACGUGUGCUAAUACCGUAUACGUCCUUCGGGAGAAAGAUUUAUCGGAGAUGGAUGAGCCCGCGUUGGAUUAGCUAGUUGGUGGGGUAAAGGCCGACCAAGGCCACGAUCCAUAGCUGGUCUGAGAGGAUGAUCAGCCACACUGGGACUGAGACACGGCCCAGACUCCUACGGGAGGCAGCAGUGGGGAAUAUUGGACAAUGGGCGCAAGCCUGAUCCAGCCAUGCCGCGUGAGUGAUGAAGGCCCUAGGGUUGUAAAGCUCUUUCACCGGUGAAGAUAAUGACGGUAACCGGAGAAGAAGCCCCGGCUAACUUCGUGCCAGCCGCCGCGGUAACAC